GGGGGUAUAGCUCAGUGGUAGAGUGUCUGCUCAGCAGGCAUGAGGUCCUGAGUUCAAACUCCAGUAUCUCCA
rnacentral:tRNA from 1 species